UCAAACGCGCUACAAAUUACCUCUUCAUACCAUCUUUUGAGCACCGCCAUCUAUUGUUUACCAUCAGAGCCUCAUCCUCAAACAAUUCUGAGUGCCGUUAACGGUAGCCAAUUCCUAAGUAAAAUUGUCGCAAAAUGUUGAUGCAUCAAAAGCGGCCUCAAAUUGAACUUUUUAUCAUUUACCUACUAAAAUAAAAGUAAUAGAAUGCGCUUGGAUACGCACGUUUGGAGUCUGCUUUCUAUAUUCACUUAGGAACAGACGAAUUAUUAUUAAUUCUGAAUAAGACCAAAAA